rnacentral:rRNA from 1 species
UACAGAGGGUGCAAGCGUUGUUCGGAAUUAUUGGGCGUAAAGCGCGUGUAGGCGGCUUUGCAAGUCGGGUGUGAAAUCCCUCAGCUCAACUGAGGAAGUGCGCCCGAAACUGCAGAGCUUGAGUGCCAGAGAGGGCAGUGGAAUUCCCCAAGUAGAGGUGAAAUUCGUAGAUAUGGGGAGGAACACCGGUGGCGAAGGCGGCUGCCUGGCUGGUAACUGAUGCUGAGACGCGAAAGCAUGGGGAGCAAACAGG